rnacentral:rRNA from 1 species
UACGUAGGGGGCAAGCGUUGUCCGGAAUCAUUGGGCGUAAAGAGCGUGUAGGCGGCUCGGUAAGUCCGCUGUGAAAGUCCAGGGCUCAACCCUGGAAUGCCGGUGGAAACUGUCGAGCUAGAGUCCGGAAGAGGCGAGUGGAAUUCCUGGUGUAGCGGUGAAAUGCGCAGAUAUCGGGAGGAACACCAGUGGCGAAGGCGGCGACCUGGACGGACACUGACGCUGAGACGCGAAAGCGUGGGGAGCAAACAGG